rnacentral:pre_miRNA from 1 species
AAUUAGUAAUAGAUGAAGCUGCCAGCAUGAUCUAAACUUUUCUUUAUAAACAAAAGAAAUGAUCAGAUCAUGUGGUAUCUUCAUCUGUUGCUAUG